CUGCUUCAGCUGCCUUCAUGGUCAUUGGAACAAAUUGUUCUCAUCUACCCAUUCUGCCUGGGGAGAAGUUUUCAUAAGCUUGGGGAAGACACUCUCCUAACUCACCAACAGGACCCCUCCUUUCUCACCUAUCCCACUGGAAAUUGCUGAGGAUUCACCUAAUCAGUUUCUUCUGCGGGUCAUUCAACCCUCAACAUCUGAGUUAGAAUCUCAAGGAUGAUGUUAUGUUGAAAGCCAGAGAGGGAAAAAAAGAACACCAAACAGAGAAAAAAAGAG